AGAGGCGGAAGUGUGUGAUGUAAUGACUUAGGAAUCUACCUAGUAGUGGGGGAUAGCACGGGGAAACUCGUAUUAAUACCGCAUACGACCUACGGGAGAAAGGGGGCAGUUUACUGCUCUCGCUAUUAGAUGAGCCUAAGUCGGAUUAGCUAGAUGGUGGGGUAAAGGCCUACCAUGGCGACGAUCUGUAGCUGGUCUGAGAGGAUGAUCAGCCACACCGGGACUGAGACACGGCCCGGACUCCUACGGGAGGCAGCAGUGGGGAAUAUUGGACAAUGGGGGAAACCCUGAUCCAGCCAUGCCGCGUGUGUGAAGAAGGCCUUUUGGUUGUAAAGCACUUUAAGCAGUGAAGAAGACUCCGUGGUUAAUACCCACGGACGAUGACAUUAGCUGCAGAAUAAGCACCGGCUAACUCUGUGCCAGCAGCCGCGGUAAUACAGAGGGUGCAAGCGUUAAUCGGAAUUACUGGGCGUAAAGGGAGCGUAGGUGGCUCUAUAAGUCAGAUGUGAAAUCCCCGGGCUCAACCUGGGAACUGCAUCUGAAACUGUAGAGCUAGAGUAUGUGAGAGGAAGGUAGAAUUCCAGGUGUAGCGGUGAAAUGCGUAGAGAUCUGGAGGAAUACCGAUGGCGAAGGCAGCCUUCUGGCAUAAUACUGACACUGAGGCUCGAAAGCGUGGGUAGCAAACAGGAUUAGAUACCCUGGUAGUCCACGCCGUAAACGAUGUCUACUAGUCGUUGGGUCCCUUGAGGACUUAGUGACGCAGCUAACGCAAUAAGUAGACCGCCUGGGGAGUACGGCCGCAAGGUUAAAACUCAAAUGAAUUGACGGGGCCCGCACAAGCGGUGGAGCAUGUGGUUUAAUUCGAUGCAACGCGAAACCUUACCUGGUCUUGACAUAUCUAGA
rnacentral:rRNA from 1 species